AAAUAUCGUGACAGAAUCUUUUCCCAAAAGUUAUCAGAAUGAUUGUAUCGACAAUUUUUCUCAGUUUGUUACUGACUUUCUUAUCAUGUGUCCAGUCGGAGGUUGUUUUGACUCAGCCAGAAGCAGAGACUGGACGUCCCGCUGGCAGUCUGCGACUGACCUGUAAAACCAGCGGGUUCAAUCUUGGCAGCAACUACAUGCACUGGGUCCGACAAGUUCCCGGCAAGGGCCUGGAAUGGCUGCUGUACUACUAUCGUUCAUCCGACAAUAGCUAUGCACCAGCGAUUAUGGGCCGAUUUACUGCGUCCAAAGAGAUUUCAAGCAACAUUUUUGCGUUGAACAUGAAAAACCUGAAGAUCAAAGACACCGCAAUCUAUUACUGUGCAAGAGCAGUGGGGAGCUGGAUUCACACUGCAAUUAUGAUCGAUACAAAAACCUUUCAGCCCCUAUUGUUUGAAACAAGUCAGUGAUUAAUUCUACAAACCGUCUUAACUUGCAGUGCAGUAUUAGUUCUGUGGGUUUUUGUGCAUGUUUAAUUUGUAAAAGUGGUGAUAAUUAUUGAUACACCAAUUGGUGAUUUUGAGAAUCAGCUCAAGUGUAACUCUGUGAAGUAUAAAACAAUACACUUCAAUUUAUCAAGAAUGUUCAGAAUUCACUCGCACAUGUGAUGAAGAUUUAUCGUGACUUUAUUUUGCCUGUGGCUCCGAAAUUUUAAUGGUAGAUUUUUGGUUUGUUUUAUGCAGAGCUACUUAUUGUGUGGCCCAGUGUAGAUAACGUAACAUUGUGUCUAUCUUGAUGACUGGGGCCAAGGGACCA